rnacentral:sRNA from 1 species
UCUUGCUGCUAAGCUAUCCCUCACUGCUAAGCUAUCUCUCACUGCUAAGCUAUUCCUCACUGCUAAGCUAUCUCUUGCUG